CAACGUGGAACAUCCUCGCACGCAUGUUCACUGAUGAUGUUGGCAAAUCCAUAAAUUGGAAAGGGAUUAAUGGAAAAAAAUCUUUCAAUCUAAUGACGUCCAAGACUUUGCUCCUGCGUGAAUGUUACUCAACUAUACCUUUACAUAAUAGUUAUAUGAUAUAUUAGCUCUAUGGAGUGGAGAUGGUCAGCUGCUUCAGGUUCCUCGGGGUCAACAUCAGCAACGACCUCACCUGGUCUGCUCACACAGACAAGGUGGUCACUGCGGCCCGGAAGCGCCUCUUCUUCCUGAGGAGACUGAAGAAGUUUGGCAUGGAUUCAGUCAUCCUCACCAAUUUCUACAGAUGCACAAUAGAAAGCAUCCUGACUGGGUGCAUCACAGUGUGGGAGCUGCACAGCCAAGGACCGCAAGGCCCUACGUAGUGUGGUCAGGACUGCGGAGUUCAUCAUCGAUGCUGUCAGAAAGAAUCACUCAACACAUGCGUCCACUGACGACCAGGUUCUUAAGCACGCCAUUCGGUGGUUCAACCUGGCAGCAG